AGUAUGAGGUUCACAACGUUCGUUCCUCUGGUAUUCACUCUCUUCUCUCUCUCUCCACAGGCAGCAGCUGGGGCAAAAGACACAGUUAAUUCACUUGACUUUCUCACCUCUUUGCUGGUUACAGCCUACGGUAAGUAUGAGGUUCACAAUGUUCGUUUCUCUGGUAUUCACUCUCUUCUCUCUCUCUCCACAGGCAGCAGCUGGGUGCGGCGCCCUCCUGUUUCGUUAAGUCACAAACUUGGGGGUUAUUUAAGUUGCAAUAAGGUAAGUACGGCGGACUUACUAAUCGUGGUUUCCCUCUCAAUAGGUCAGAUCUAUAGGUAGAUUUCUGGCGAUGUCGGGGGCAACCCUCACGACGAGCUCGUGGGUCACAGGGGGGUGGACACGUCGCGUCGUCUCACCAGGCCGAGCGCUGCCCUUCUCUGUCUGCCGUCUCGGCGAUCGUAUCCCGAGCAGGGGCGCCCCUUUGUAGAGACCCGGGACGGCGGAGUGCCUACACCUCACUCUCUGCAACAGUAAGUAUUAGGUAGAUCAACGCAUCAACAAUAAUGACCUUUAAUUGUACUCACACAUCCACUGAUCAUUCGGUCCUUCACCGCCGUUUCUCCAAAAAUACCCCCCACGUCUGGACGGGAACUCGUUUCCGUAACACCGCUUCACUAUGUAGACUUAAAGCGUAUUCACAGCAUAAAUUCAGAUAUUCUCUGCUAAACCGGCAACCUCUUCGUCUUCCUUUGACAGAGUGUACGGAGGCGGGGGUUUGUCUGACAAGACACACAGCAAUACACAGCAGUACACAGCAGUACACAGCACCACGUCAAAAGUGUAAGUUUCCACGACACAAAGACUCACCCACCACGCUCAAGUGUACAUAAAGGACGCCCGUCUCUUUACACGCUGCCCAGGUCCGAUGGUUGAUGGAAAUAUUCGGUCUAGCUGAUGGUCUUGUCGCUGCGUUUAGCUUCCGUCGGAUGUUUCCUCGGCUCACCCACCACGCUAUCUCAGGGGUAGGGCCGCCCUCCUUCUCCUGGAGGGUAUUCACUGAAAAUGCAGGCCAACAUCAAUCCUGCCAAGCAGGGCGUCUCUCCAGCGUUUACACAAAACCACUUGCAGGUUCACAACAUCUCUCCAACUACACUGCUUCAGCCUGGGAAAGAGAGCCGGACCGCUACCAGCAACGCACCUGAUGAGUAUACACCACACUGCAAUACAACGUCAACAACCCCUCCAACUGUGAUUUAACUGUUCUUUUUAUACUGGCCUGCCCGGCGUGUCCUCCAAUCAUCGCCGCUCCCGUUAACUAGGCACAGCUGCGUCUAAUUCCGCCGAUUUCCCUCUCGCGGCGCUACCGGAAGUUCCGGUGUUUUUCCUUACUGGCCCGGGUGGGAAACACUUCCGGGCGGAACCAAACUUCCUUAACUUUGGUUCCGCCCCUAAAGAUCGUCACCUUGUGACA